GGCUCAGGACGAACGCUGGCGGCGUGCCUAAUACAUGCAAGUCGAACGAACUCUGGUAUUGAUUGGUGCUUGCAUCAUGAUUUACAUUUGAGUGAGUGGCGAACUGGUGAGUAACACGUGGGAAACCUGCCCAGAAGCGGGGGAUAACACCUGGAAACAGAUGCUAAUACCGCAUAACAACUUGGACCGCAUGGUCCGAGCUUGAAAGAUGGCUUCGGCUAUCACUUUUGGAUGGUCCCGCGGCGUAUUAGCUAGAUGGUGGGGUAACGGCUCACCAUGGCAAUGAUACGUAGCCGACCUGAGAGGGUAAUCGGCCACAUUGGGACUGAGACACGGCCCAAACUCCUACGGGAGGCAGCAGUAGGGAAUCUUCCACAAUGGACGAAAGUCUGAUGGAGCAACGCCGCGUGAGUGAAGAAGGGUUUCGGCUCGUAAAACUCUGUUGUUAAAGAAGAACAUAUCUGAGAGUAACUGUUCAGGUAUUGACGGUAUUUAACCAGAAAGCCACGGCUAACUACGUGCCAGCAGCCGCGGUAAUACGUAGGUGGCAAGCGUUGUCCGGAUUUAUUGGGCGUAAAGCGAGCGCAGGCGGUUUUUUAAGUCUGAUGUGAAAGCCUUCGGCUCAACCGAAGAAGUGCAUCGGAAACUGGGAAACUUGAGUGCAGAAGAGGACAGUGGAACUCCAUGUGUAGCGGUGAAAUGCGUAGAUAUAUGGAAGAACACCAGUGGCGAAAGCGGCUGUCUGGUCUGUAACUGACGCUGAGGCUCGAAAGUAUGGGUAGCAAACAGGAUUAGAUACCCUGGUAGUCCAUACCGUAAACGAUGAAUGCUAAGUGUUGGAGGGUUUCCGCCCUUCAGUGCUGCAGCUAACGCAUUAAGCAUUCCGCCUGGGGAGUACGGCCGCAAGGCUGAAACUCAAAGGAAUUGACGGGGGCCCGCACAAGCGGUGGAGCAUGUGGUUUAAUUCGAAGCUACGCGAAGAACCUUACCAGGUCUUGACAUACUAUGCAAAUCUAAGAGAUUAGACGUUCCCUUCGGGGACAUGGAUACAGGUGGUGCAUGGUUGUCGUCAGCUCGUGUCGUGAGAUGUUGGGUUAAGUCCCGCAACGAGCGCAACCCUUAUUAUCAGUUGCCAGCAUUAAGUUGGGCACUCUGGUGAGACUGCCGGUGACAAACCGGAGGAAGGUGGGGAUGACGUCAAAUCAUCAUGCCCCUUAUGACCUGGGCUACACACGUGCUACAAUGGAUGGUACAACGAGUUGCGAACUCGCGAGAGUAAGCUAAUCUCUUAAAGCCAUUCUCAGUUCGGAUUGUAGGCUGCAACUCGCCUACAUGAAGUCGGAAUCGCUAGUAAUCGCGGAUCAGCAUGCCGCGGUGAAUACGUUCCCGGGCCUUGUACACACCGCCCGUCACACCAUGAGAGUUUGUAACACCCAAAGUCGGUGGGGUAACCUUUUAGGAACCAGCCGCCUAAGGUGGGACAGAUGAUUAGGGUG
rnacentral:rRNA from 1 species